rnacentral:tRNA from 1 species
AAAGUUUUAGUUAAAAAAUAACAUUAAUUUGUCAAAUUAAAAUUGCUUUAAAAGCAAACUUUU